GAUUGCACAUUCUUCACUCGGAAAGAAAUCCUUCGAAUGACUGAUCAGAAAGGCAUGCGGUUCCCUUGUCCAAAGUUGCAUGGCCGGUACCAUGAAAUGGCACCAAAUGUUGUGCCCAUGGACUAUACAAAGGACCCAGAUGUUAAACUACCUAUGCAGCUUAUAAUAAACAUGCCUGAGCUAAAGGUAUUGUUUCUGACUGCUUACAAACUUUAUCUUGCUAAGCUCUGUAGCUUGCCUCUUGGAGGUUUUGCCAAGUGAGUUUGGUACCAUGAAGCAAAAUGGCAUGCUAAGGUCUUCCCUUUUCCAUUACUGUUCAAGGGCAAAACCAGCCACAGAAACAGGAAGAUAUUUAGGUAGAUGUCUCCCUUGCAGAGAUGGAUGGGAUCAGAAGUUAAUGGAAACAUGCAGAAAAUUAAAUUGAAUUUAACACACUUUCCACUCUGUACAUAUAAAUCCUUUUGAAGACAGUAGGAUCUGUGUUUGAAUAGCUGGUACUAAAAGAAUAAGAAGUUCUGUGAACUUUUACUUGAAAUCUAUUUCAAAUUUCUUUCACUUUACAUUAACCUAAAAAAAAAUUCCCCACAACUGAAUUUCUGAAGUACUGCUUAUAUUUGUACUUUUUCCAAACACUGGGGCAAUGUCAUAUAUUGAACAAGAAGCACAUUUCACUUCCUUCAGAAGUAUUUGACAAUCAUUUUACAUAAACGGAAACAUAAGAGAUUUUCGCACCAUAAGGAUUUAAUUAAACAAAAGAUCUUUGGAAAAACUUUCAACAUUGUCAUUCCUGUGGCUUACCA
rnacentral:lncRNA from 1 species